rnacentral:rRNA from 1 species
CGGAGAGGGCGCAUGACAAACGGCUACCACAUCCAAGGAAGGCAGCAGGCGCGCAAAUUACCCAAUCCCGACACGGGGAGGUAGUGACAAUAUGUAACAAUAUACGGCUUUAUUGUCGUAUAAUUGGAAUGAGUACAAUUUAAAUCCCUUAACGAGGAACAAUUGGAGGGCAAGUCUGGUGCCAGCAGCCGCGGUAAUUCCAGCUCCAAUAGCGUAUAUUAAAGUUGUUGCAGUUAAAAAGCUCGUAGUUGGACCUUGGGCCUGGACAGGCGGUCCGCCUCACGGCGUGUACUGUCUUGCUGGGCCUUUCCUCUUGGUGAUCUGUGGUUUCGGCCGCAGGGAACCAGGACCUUUACUUUGAAAAAAUUAGAGUGUUCAAAGCAGGCUUUACGCCAGAAUAUAUUAGCAUGGAAUAAUAAAAUAGGACGUGCGGUUCUAUUUUGUUGGUUUUUGGGAUCGCCGUAAUGAUUAAUAGGGACAGUCGGGGGCAUUAGUACUCACAUGCUAGAGGUGAAAUUCUUGGAUUUUGUGAAGACUAACUUCUGCCGAAGCAUUUGUCAGGGAUGUUUUCUUUAAUCAGGAACGAAAGUUAGGGUAUCGAAA